AACGGGAACUUAACUCAGUAUUAUAGCGGGGAAAGGUAUAAUUUUGGAGGCAAAAAUUUUGGGUUUUUCUCCCCCAACCAAAAAAGUCUCGAUUUCUCAAGUGUAAAAGUUUUACACUUAGCUCCAACAAAAAAGAAAAAAAAAAAAGCUUUCUCCAAAAUUUCAAUUCAAUCUCAAAGUGUUUGAUUCCAUUGUGAAAUCUGAAUACCCAUUAUUGCAUGAACUCUCGAUUCCCAUUGAAGAAAUUUCGAUUAUCAACACCACAAUCUCCAUCGAUUCUCCACUAUCUGUCUCUGUAUUUCUCCUUCUUUCUCUGCGGUUGUUUCUCAGAUCCGCCACCGUCUCUCUCCUCCGUCGCCAUAUCUCUCUGCCGCUGCCGUCUCUCUCCGUCUCUAUCUCUCUUCGACUCCGUCUCUGUAUCUGUCUCAAUAGCUCAGGCGAUCUCAAGCUCAUUAGCCUCGAACUCAGUAGCUUCUCUGUCUCAAUAGAUCCGUUUCUCUCCUUGUUUGUCUCAGUAGCUUCGAAACCAGCUGAUCUCAUCCACCUGAAAGGUUACAGUGUAUGUUGCCGUGUUCAUGGGUUUAAGCCGUGCUUUUACAUUGCGUGCCCUCAUGAAAUCGGUCCAGACGAUGUUUAUAAAAUCAGUUUCAGUAUUGAGCUACUUUCGAAGAUUUCUGUAGUUUAUUUCCAAGAUCAGAGUUCAUAUUUUGUUUUUUCAGGAAAGAAUGAGGGAAUCCAAUAGAAGUAUCAAGGUCCAAAAAUUUGUUCAUCAUAUAGAACUGGUGCAGAGAAAGAGUAUUAUGUAUUAUCAGCAGCAAAAGUCACAGAACUUUCUCAAAAUCGUUCUUACACUUCCGACAAUGGAGUCUACAUGUCUUGGUAUCCUUCAUAGAGGCAUACAAAUUAGUGGAUUGGGAAUGAAGAGCUUCCAAACAUACGAAAGCCAUGUUCCUUUCGAUCUUCGUUUUAUGAUUGAUUGCAAUAUUGUGGGAGGAAACUGGGGAUUGAAGUGCCCUGUGGGAAAUAUAAAAAGAUGUCAAAACCAUUGCCAUAUUGCCAAUUGGAGUUUGAUUGCUUGUAUCCUCUUUAUGAUACUUUUAUAAUAACACUUCUAGUUUUUGUCAUUAAUUUCCUUAAUAAGGGGUUUUAGAUACUCAGAUUUGGAGAUUUUUUUUUUUGAUACUUGUAUAUUCAUUGGAGAUUUUUUUUUUUUUUUGGUAAUUGGAGAUUCUUAAGAUCGAGAAUCAGUAAAAUAAGCUUUAUAGUAUAUAGUUUUCAUUGUAUAAAUCUUUGUCACAUAUGUACUCUUAUCAUUUGUAUAAAUAAAUAAAACGUUUCCAACAAUUUUCAA